AACAGGAUUAGAUACCCUGGUAGUCCACGCCGUAAACGAUGUCGACUUGGAGGUUGUUCCCUUGAGGAGUGGCUUCCGGAGCUAACGCGUUAAGUCGACCGCCUGGGGAGUACGGCCGCAAGGUUAAAACUCAAAUGAAUUGACGGGGGCCCGCACAAGCGGUGGAGCAUGUGGUUUAAUUCGAUGCAACGCGAAGAACCUUACCUACUCUUGACAUCCAGAGAACUUAGCAGAGAUGCUUUGGUGCCUUCGGGAACUCUGAGACAGGUGCUGCAUGGCUGUCGUCAGCUCGUGUUGUGAAAUGUUGGGUUAAGUCCCGCAGCGAGCGCAACCCUUAUCCUUUGUUGCCAGCGGGUUAUGCCGGGAACUCAAAGGAGACUGCCAGUGAUAAACUGGAGGAAGGUGGGGAUGACGUCAAGUCAUCAUGGCCCUUACGAGUAGGGCUACACACGUGCUACAAUGGCGCAUACAAAGAGAAGCGAUCUCGCGAGAGCAAGCGGACCUCAUAAAGUGCGUCGUAGUCCGGAUCGGAGUCUGCAACUCGACUCCGUGAAGUCGGAAUCGCUAGUAAUCGUAGAUCAGAAUGCUACGGUGAAUACGUUCCCGGGCCUUGUACACACCGCCCGUCACACCAUGGGAGUGGGUUGCAAAAGAAGUAGGUAGCUUAACCUUCGGGAGGGCGCUUACCACUUUGUGAUUCAUGACUGGGGUGAAGUCGUAACAAGGUAACC
rnacentral:rRNA from 1 species